GACGAACGCUGGCGGCGUGCCUAAUACAUGCAAGUCGAGCGGAUUGAUAGGAGCUUGCUCCCUGAUAUCAGCGGCGGACGGGUGAGUAACACGUGGGCAACCUGCCUAUAAGACUGGGAUAACUUCGGGAAACCGGAGCUAAUACCGGAUAAUCCCUUUCCUCUCAUGAGGAAAGGCUGAAAGAUGGUUUACGCUAUCACUUAUAGAUGGGCCCGCGGCGCAUUAGCUAGUUGGUGAGGUAACGGCUCACCAAGGCAACGAUGCGUAGCCGACCUGAGAGGGUGAUCGGCCACACUGGGACUGAGACACGGCCCAGACUCCUACGGGAGGCAGCAGUAGGGAAUCUUCCGCAAUGGACGAAAGUCUGACGGAGCAACGCUGCGUGAGUGAUGAAGGUUUUCGGAUCGUAAGACUCUGUUGUUAGGGAAGAACAAGUACGAGAGUAACUGCUCGUACCUUGACGGUACCUAACCAGAAAGCCACGGCUAACUACGUGCCAGCCGCCGCGGUAA
rnacentral:rRNA from 1 species